rnacentral:rRNA from 1 species
UACAGAGGUCUCAAGCGUUGUUCGGAAUCACUGGGCGUAAAGGGUGCGUAGCGGCGCAGCAAGUCAGAUGUGAAAUCCGGAGGCUCAACCUCCGAAAUGCAUCCGAAACUGCUGUGCUCGAGAUCUGUAGAGGACUUGGAAUCUCGGUGUAGCAGUGAAAUGCGUAGAUAUCGAGAAGAACGCUCGUGGCGAAGGCGAAGUCCUGGGCAGAUUCUGACGCUGAGGCACGAAGGCCAGGGGAGCAAACGGG